rnacentral:misc_RNA from 1 species
GGAAGGAUCAUUCAUAAUAAGUGUUUUAUGGCACUUUAAAAUCCAUAUCCACCUUGUGUGCAAUGUCGGCCUGAUCACAUCCAGCAAUGGGUGUGUGAAGGGUUUCAUUAUCCACGUCAAUGGUUUUUUCUUUAUCAGUCUACAUUCUUUGAGUAAUAAACGAACUCAAAUACAACUUUCAACAACGGAUCUCUUGGCUCUCGCAUCGAUGAAGAACGCAGCGAAAUGCGAUACGUAAUGUGAAUUGCAGAAUUCAGUGAAUCAUCGAAUCUUUGAACGCACAUUGCGCCUUCUGGUAUUCCGGGAGGCAUGCUUGUUUGAGUAUCAGUAAACACCUCAACUUGACCUCAAGUUGGACUUGAGCAGUUUCCAAACUUCUCCCUCAAAAGGGGUUUUGUGCGGAAUGCUUAAAAUGCAGGUGCAGCUGGGAUCCCCAUUUCAUUGUCCUAGGCUACAAGCAUUUCUGCUUAAUCCCGUCAAACGGAUUAUACCUUUUUGCUGCAGCCAAACGAUAAUUGGGCCCGAAACGCUGACUGAUGCAGGAUUUCUGACAGAUUUUUUUUUUUCUGUCUGUUCCACUCGAUCUCAAAUCAAGUAAGACUACCCGCUGAACUUAAGCAUAUCAAUAAGCGGAGGAAAAGAAACUAACAAGGAUUCCCCUAGUAACGGCGAGUGAAGCGGGAUGAGCUCAAAUUUGAAAUCUGGCUGGUUUCCAGUCCGAGUUGUAGUUUAAAGAGGCGUUUUCGGCGGCAACCUGGGUACAAAUCCUUUGGAACAGGGUAUCAUAGAGGGUGAGAAUCCCGUCUCUGACUCAGUGCAUGUUGCUAUGUGAUACGUCUUCAAAGAGUCGAGUUGUUUGGGAAUGCAGCUCAAAAUGGGUGGUAAAUCUCAUCUAAGGCUAAAUACAGGCGAGAGACCGAUAGCGAACAAGUACCGUGAGGGAAAGAUGAAAAGAACUUUGAAAAGAGAGUUAAACAGUGCGUGAAAUUGUUGAAAGGGAAACGUUUGACACCAGUCAUGCGGGUGGGAAAUCAGUCAUGUGCAGUGAAGAGUGGUAAGGGUUUGGACCGCAAGGCCUGCCUUUGUCUCAUCUUUGCUGUUGGUGAUGCACUUUUUCAUCUGCAGGUCAACAUCAGUUUCCUCCGCUGGACAAAACUCUAUGAGAAUGUGGCAGCUCUGGCUGUGUUAUAGCUCUGGGGUGAUACAGUGGCGGGGACUGAGGUUUCGCAGUGUGUGCUUUCGGGCAAGGCUGACUGGGUGCUAUGGGGUGGUUCGGCGUACAAUGCUUGCAUUUUGCGUCGGGUCCGUUCUGUACUCGCCUAUCUCGGCUCUUCCACGCUUAGGAUGUUGACGUAAUGGUUUUAAACGACCCGUCUUGAAACACGGACCAAGGAGUCUAACAUAUGUGCGAGUGUUUGGGUGGCAAACCCAUACGCGUAAUGAAAGUGAACGUAGGUGCGAUCCGCAAGGUGCAGCAUCGACCGAUCUUGAUAUUUUUGGAUAGAUUUGAGUAAGAGCACACAUGCUGGGACCCGAAAGAUGGUGAACUAUGCCUGAAUAGGGUGAAGCCAGAGGAAACUCUGGUGGAGGCUCGUAGCGAUUCUGACGUGCAAAUCGAUCGUCAAAUUUGGGUAUAGGGGCGAAAGACUAAUCGAACCAUCUAGUAGCUGGUUCCUGC